UUCGUCUAUAUAAGUUACCUCGUUCUCUAACAAGAGGCAAACUCUUUCUUAUCGCAACCACUUCCAAGUUCUACUAUAACUCUCCAAACUUUUGUGACUCUUGAUACAUCAAUGUUAACUGCAUCCAACUGUCGUCCCCAAAUCUUGUAUCAACAAAAAGCCAUAACAAAAGUAAGAGAAAAGACACAGAAAAUCACGAAAGAAACAUAACAUCAAUAGUAGCAGUGAAGAAGAAUUGCAUUCGGAAUCAAAGUCAGACUAUUCAGAAUCCAAGGCAGAAGCAACGAAAGAACAAGCUAAGCUAUGAUAAGAAAUGACUUGCAUGCACAAAAUUGGCAACUUGGAGCUUGCCAUACAAAAAACGGCUCAGCCAUAAGCCUAGAUGGAGGCUAACAACUAACUGUUGCAAAUUCAUGAAUCCCAUUCCCCCACGUUGGCUAUCUAAGAUGCUUUAAGAUCCGUCGGCUGUAAGCUUUAAAAGUGUCCAUUUCCACAUACUCUCAAAAUCUUCGGAUUGGGUUAAUUUGAAUUUUAAAAAAUUGAAAUCAAAUUAUUUUGGAUUAAUUUUCGAAUUUAAAUCGUGUUGGAAUUGUUUUAAAUUUAAGUUAUUUGAGACAUUUCAUGUUGAGAUACUUUUAAAUUAAAUAUUGCGAUAAAUUUAAAUAUAGGUUGAACA